rnacentral:piRNA from 1 species
UGGCAACACCUCAGUGUGGCAGG